rnacentral:rRNA from 1 species
AGCGAACGCUGGCGGCAGGCCUAACACAUGCCAGUCGAACGAACCUUUCGGGGUUAGUGGCGGACGGGUGAGUAACACGUGGGAACGUGCCUUUAGGUUCGGAAUAACUCAGGGAAACUUGUGCUAAUACCGAAUGUGCCCUUCGGGGGAAAGAUUAAUCGCCUUUAGAGCGGCCGGCGUCUGAUUAGCUAGUUGGUUGAGGUAAUGGCUCACCAAGGCGACGAUCAGUAGCUGGUCUGAGAGGAUGAUCAGACACAUUGGGACUGAGACACGGCCCAAACUCCUACGGGAGGCAGCAGUGGGGAAUCUUGCGCAAUGGGCGAAAGCCUGACGCAGCCAUGCCGCGUGAAUGAUGAAGGUCUUAGGAUUGUAAAAUUCUUUCACCGGGGACGAUAAUGACGGUACCCGGAGAAGAAGCCCCGGCUAACUUCGUG